rnacentral:rRNA from 1 species
AACGAACGCUGGCGGCAGGCUUAACACAUGCAAGUCGAACGCCCUCUUUUAGAGGGAGUGGCAGACGGGUGAGUAACGCGUGGGAAUCUACCCAGCUCUACGGAACAACAGUUAGAAAUGACUGCUAAUACCGUAUACGCCCUCCGGGGGAAAGAUUUAUCGGAGUUGGAUGAGCCCGCGUUUGAUUAGCUAGUUGGUGAGGUAAUGGCUCACCAAGGCGACGAUCAAUAGCUGGUCUGAGAGGAUGAUCAGCCACACUGGGACUGAGACACGGCCCAGACUCCUACGGGAGGCAGCAGUGGGGAAUAUUGGACAAUGGGCGCAAGCCUGAUCCAGCCAUGCCGCGUGAGUGAUGAAGGCCCUAGGGUUGUAAAGCUCUUUCAACGGUGAAGAUAAUGACGGUAACCGUAGAAGAAGCCCCGGCUAACUUCGUG